rnacentral:rRNA from 1 species
CAUGCAGUCGAGCGGCAGCGGGAAGUAGCUUGCUACUUUGCCGGCGAGCGGCGGACGGGUGAGUAAUGUCUGGGAAACUGCCUGAUGGAGGGGGAUAACUACUGGAAACGGUAGCUAAUACCGCAUGACCUCGAAAGAGCAAAGUGGGGGACCUUCGGGCCUCACGCCAUCGGAUGUGCCCAGAUGGGAUUAGCUAGUAGGUGAGGUAAUGGCUCACCUAGGCGACGAUCCCUAGCUGGUCUGAGAGGAUGACCAGCCACACUGGAACUGAGACACGGUCCAGACUCCUACGGGAGGCAGCAGUGGGGAAUAUUGCACAAUGGGCGCAAGCCUGAUGCAGCCAUGCCGCGUGUGUGAAGAAGGCCUUCGGGUUGUAAAGCACUUUCAGCGAGGAGGAAGGCGUUAAGGUUAAUAACCUUAGCGAUUGACGUUACUCGCAGAAGAAGCACCGGCUAACUCCGUGCCAGCAGCCGCGGUAAUACGGAGGGUGCAAGCGUUAAUCGGAAUUACUGGGCGUAAAGCGCACGCAGGCGGUUUGUUAAGUCAGAUGUGAAAUCCCCGAGCUUAACUUGGGAACUGCAUUUGAAACUGGCAAGCUAGAGUCUUGUAGAGGGGGGUAGAAUUCCAGGUGUAGCGGUGAAAUGCGUAGAA